GUUAAUGUAGCUUAAAAUACCAAAGCAAAGCACUGAAAAUGCUUAGACGGGUUAACUCAACCCCAUAAACA
rnacentral:tRNA from 1 species